rnacentral:rRNA from 1 species
UACGUAGGGCGCAAGCGUUGUCCGGAAUUACUGGGCGUAAAGAGCUCGUAGGUGGUUUGUCGCGUUGUUCGUGAAAACUCACAGCUUAACUGUGGGCGUGCGGGCGAUACGGGCAGACUAGAGUACUGCAGGGGAGACUGGAAUUCCUGGUGUAGCGGUGGAAUGCGCAGAUAUCAGGAGGAACACCGGUGGCGAAGGCGGGUCUCUAGGCAGUAACUGACGCUGAGGAGCGAAAGCGUGGGGAGCGAACAGG